GUGGGGAAUUUUGGACAAUGGGCGCAAGCCUGAUCCAGCAAUGCCGCGUGCAGGAAGAAGGCCUUCGGGUUGUAAACUGCUUUUGUACGGAACGAAACGGUCCUGGUUAAUACCUGGGGCUAAUGACGGUACCGUAAGAAUAAGCACCGGCUAACUACGUGCCAGCAGCCGCGGUAAUACGUAGGGUGCGAGCGUUAAUCGGAAUUACUGGGCGUAAAGCGUGCGCAGGCGGUGCUGUAAGACAGGCGUGAAAUCCCCGGGCUCAACCUGGGAAUUGCGCUUGUGACUGCAGUGCUGGAGUACGGCAGAGGGGGAUGGAAUUCCGCGUGUAGCAGUGAAAUGCGUAGAUAUGCGGAGGAACACCGAUGGCGAAGGCAGUCCCCUGGGCCUGCACUGACGCUCAUGCACGAAAGCGUGGGGAGCAAACAGGAUUAGAAACCCGAGUAGUCC
rnacentral:rRNA from 1 species